GUCUAUGCCACGCCACCCUGAACAAGCCCGAUCCCGUCUGAUCUCGGAAGCUAAGCAGGGUCGGGACUGAUUAGUAUUUGAUGGGAGAUCACCUAGGAAGACCAGGUGCUGUAGGCG
rnacentral:rRNA from 1 species